CCUACGGGGGGCAGCAGUGGGGAAUAUUGCACAAUGGGGGAAACCCUGAUGCAGCGACGCCGCGUGAGCGAGGAAGUAUUUCGGUAUGUAAAGCUCUAUCAGCAGGGACGAAAAAAGACGGUACCUGACUAAGAAGCCCCGGCUAACUACGUGCCAGCAGCCGCGGUAAUACGUAGGGGGCAAGCGUUAUCCGGAUUUACUGGGUGUAAAGGGAGCGUAGACGGCAAGGCAAGCCAGAAGUGAAAGGGCAGGGGUCAACCCUGUACAUGCUUUUGGAACUGUGGUGCUAGAGUGCAGGAGAGGUAGGUGGAAUGCCUGGUGUAGCGGUGAAAUGCGUAGAUAUUAGGAGGAACACCAGUGGCGAAGGCGGCAUACUGGACUGUAACUGACGUUGAGGCUCGAAAGCGUGGGGAGCAAACAGGAUUAGAUACCCUGGUAGUC
rnacentral:rRNA from 1 species